rnacentral:rRNA from 1 species
UACGGGGGGAGCAAGCGUUGUUCGGAUUUACUGGGCGUAAAGGGCGCGUAGGCGGUCAGCACAAGUCAGUUGUGAAAUCUCCGAGCUUAACUCGGAAAGGUCAACUGAUACUGUGCGACUAGAGUGCGGAAGGGGCAACUGGAAUUCUUGGUGUAGCGGUGAAAUGCGUAGAUAUCAAGAGGAGCACCUGCGGCGAAGGCGGGUUGCUGGGCCGACACUGACGCUGAAGCGCGAAAGCCAGGGGAGCGAACGGG